GCUGGGCAUGGUGGUGCAUGCCUGUAGUCACAGCUACUUGGGAGGCUGAGGUGGGAGGAUUGCUUGAGCCCAGAAGUUCAAGGUUACAGUGAGCUAUGAUUGCGCCACUGCACUCCUGCCUGGGUGACAAAGAGAGACCCUGUCUCUU
ensembl:misc_RNA Metazoa_SRP Metazoan signal recognition particle RNA